rnacentral:rRNA from 1 species
GACGAACGCUGGCGGCGUGCUUUACACAUGCAAGUCGAACGGUGAAGGUGGAGCUUGCUCCGCCGGAUCAGUGGCGAACGGGUGAGUAACACGUGGGCAACCUGCCCCUAACUUUGGGAUAACUACUCGAAAGAGUAGCUAAUACCGGAUACGAAGUCUGUAGGCAUCUACGGAUUUGGAAAGUUUUUCGGUUAGGGGUGGGCCCGCGGCCUAUCAGGUUGUUGGUGAGGUAGUGGGUCACCAAGGCGACGACGGGUAGCCGGCCUGAGAGGGCGACCGGCCACACUGGGACUGAGACACGGCCCAGACUCCUACGGGAGGCAGCAGUGGGGAAUAUUGCGCAAUGGGCGAAAGCCUGACGCAGCAACGCCGCGUGCGGGAUGAAGGCCUUCGGGUUGUAAACCGCUUUCAGCAGGGAAGAAGCGAAAGUGACGGUACCUGCAGAAGAAGCACCGGCUAACUACGUGCCAGCAGCCGCAGUAA